UUCCAGCAAAAAUAAGCCGUGGUAAGGGAAGGGUCAAUAAAUUUUCAUAAGUGACGCGCCAGGAUUCUAAGGCAGUUUUUGUGACUUCACUUGGAGUCAGGGCUUAUACAAAACAAAUUCAUGUCUUAAGGGCAAAAAAAGAGCGUGACAGGCAGAAACAGGGAACAGAUCAGAAAGCAGCAGAAGGGACCAAAUGCAGAAUGUCUGCCCAACUCCAGCCUCUGUCUGUACCAUGUGUGAAUAGGCUACUGGUGGAGACUUAGGCAGAUGUUUCCAGCAGGAGUCAUGCAGCACGUUUGUGGGGUCAGAAACGUGCAUCAAAAUCCCUGGCAUCUACCAUGCAUGGCAGAAAUGAGUGAUCUGCCUAGUAGGUCACAUCCGCAUUUCCACGUGGGAGGGCCUACAGAUAUCCAGGUUGCCAUUUGGAACCAGUGAUGUAAGCUUUUUAUUUUUUAUUUAUAUCUGAACCUUAAAUUUUGUCUAUAUUUGCUCAACUGAAUUAUGAGCUUGUCAAUUCAAAAUCCAUUUAAUAGCAUUUCAGACUAGAUAAAUUUUAUCUGGGUGGAGAGAGGGGAAGAUUUCUAUAAAAAUAGCAUUUCUCUAAAUCUUAAAAUUCCCAGAAACAAAUGAUUAUAAAAAGUUUUAUACAACAUUGUUUUAUUUAAAAAAUACUGCAAAGAAAAAUUUGAAUAAGAUGUGGAUAUUAGUCAAUAGAGACUAAGGCCACUAUUAUUCAUACCCUCAUGUUCCCAAUUACUAUGUACAGAUGUGAAAGCUGGACAAUGAAGAAGACUGCCAGGAGAAAAAUGGAUUCAAUUGAAAUAUGGUGUUGGAAGAGACCCCUACGGAUACCCUGGACUUCCAGAAAGAUGGACAGGUGGGUCCUGGAGUAAAGUAAGCCUGAACUAUCACUGGAGACAAAAAGGAUAAAAGUGAGCCUGUCCUACUUUGGGCACAUCGUGAGAAGGCGGGAUUCUUUGGAAAACACAAUAAUGCUGGAAAAGUAGAAGGCAGCACGAAAAGAGGAAGACCAAAUCUGAGAUGGAUUGACUCUAUAAAGGAAGCCAUAGCCCUGCGUCUACAGGAGCUGAGCAGGGCUGUUGAGGACAGGACAUUGUGGACGUCACUCACUCAUAGGGUUGCCAGGAGUUGGAGCCUACUUGAUGGCACGUAACAACGAUAUCAAUGUUUAUUGGAAAAUAAUACAGUAUCAAUGUCAGUUGUCUUAUUUUGAUAAUUGUCCUGUGGGUAUGUAUAAGAAUAUCCUUAAUUUAGAAAACACGCAUUGAAGUAUUAUGGAGUAAAGAGCACGAUGUCUGCAACUUACUCUCAAACAGUUCAGAAAAUGUGUGUGUGUGUGUGUAUGUGGGGAGAGGGAGAAAGAAUGAAUAACAAAUCAAAUAUAUUAAAAUGCUAAUGCUUCUGGAAUAUGGGUGAAGCAUACACCAGUAUUAUUUGUACUAUAUUUAUGGCUUUUCUGUUUUCAUACUAUUUCAAAAUAAAAAGUUAAAAAACACUACUCA
rnacentral:lncRNA from 1 species